GGAAGCAUGACCCUCAGGCUACGUGAAGGUUUAGGAGUGGCAACAAGCAAUCAUGCUGAAUACAGGGCAUUUAUUUUGGGUUUGAAACAUGCUCUUAGAGAAGGGUUUACUAGUAUUCGUGUUCAAGGUGACUCCAAGCUUGUUUGUAUGCAGAUCCAAGGUCUGUGGAAGGUUAAAAAUCAAAACAUCGCCAUGGUGUUUGAGCAGGCAAAACAAUUGAAGGAAAGGUUCCUUUCUUUCCGCAUCAUUCAUGUCCUUCGGGAAUCAAACUCUGAUGCAGAUCAGCAAGCAAACUUGGCUGUUGAACUUCCAGAGGGUCAAAUUCAAGAGGAGGUAGAGAAGUAACAAAACCACACUGAUGGUUUUCGCGUACAUUACAGACAAGGAUUUAUUUAUACACCCAAUUUGAAGGUUUGUGCUAUGAAGCCAGUGAAUC
rnacentral:misc_RNA from 1 species